rnacentral:rRNA from 1 species
GAUGAACGCUGGCGGCGUGCUUAACACAUGCAAGUCGAGCGAGAAAAGUUCUUCGGAGCUUUUCUAGCGGCGGACGGGUGGGUAACACGUAGGCAACCUGCCUCAUAGAGGGGAAUAGCAUUCCGAAAGGAAGAUUAAUACCGCAUAAUAUUGUUGAAAGGCAUCUUUUAACAAUCAAAGGAGCAAUCCGCUAUGGAAUGGGCCCGCGGGGCACUAGCUAGUUGGGUAGGUAACGGCGCACCAAGGCGACGAUGCGUAGCCGACCUGAGAGGGUGAUCGGCAACAUUGGGACUGAGACACGGUCCAGACUCCUGCGGGAGGGAGCAGUGGGGAAUAUUGCGCAGUGGGGGAAAUCCGGAUGCAGCAACGCCGCGUGAGUGAUGAAGGUCUUCGGAUUGUAAAGCUCUGUCUUUAGGGACGAUAAUGACGGUACCUAAGGAGGAAGCCACGGCUAACUACGUGCCAGCCGCCGCAGUAA